CCUACGGGAGGCAGCAGUGAGGAAUAUUGGUCAAUGGACGAGAGUCUGAACCAGCCAAGUCGCGUGAAGGAUGACUGCCCUAUGGGUUGUAAACUUCUUUUAUAUGGGAAUAAAAUGUUCCACGUGUGGGAUUUUGUAUGUACCAUAUGAAUAAGGAUCGGCUAACUCCGUGCCAGCAGCCGCGGUAAUACGGAGGAUUCGAGCGUUAUCCGGCUUUAUUGGGUUUAAAGGGUGCGUAGGGGGAUUGUUAAGUCAGUUGUGAAAGUUUGCGGCUCAACCGUAAAAUUGCAGUUGAAACUGGCAGUCUUGAGUACAGUAGAGGUAGGCGGAAUGCGUGGUGUAGCGGUGAAAUGCUUAGAUAUCACGAAGAACUCCGAUUGCGAAGGCAGCUCACUGGACUGCAACUGACACUGAGGCUCGAAAGUGUGGGGAUCAAACAGGAUUAGAUACCCCAGUAGUC
rnacentral:rRNA from 1 species